AUUUUCUUAUAACAUUAAUAAAAGUAAAUAUUCGAUCUGUCUUAGAAUACUUGCGAAGAAGACCUCGUCGUCGGGCCUCGAUCAGUCUUUAGAAUCUUGCGAAGACCUCGCCGUCGCGGACGAGGAGGUUGUGACGCAGUCCACAGGUACAAAUCACCGAGAACAUCUUCUGACCGUCGGCUUGAGUUUCCGUGGAGAGGAAGGUAGCGGCGGCAGUGUGAGAAUAUGUGGCUGGGGGCGGCGGCGGAGAGGCGACAGAUGGAGGGGUGGAAUGGAUGGAAGACGGUGUGUUGCUCAUCGGACUUGGCAUCUGGGUAGGAGUUGAACGGAUGGAAGACGGUGUGUAGCUCAUCGGACUCGGCGAGGAAGAAACUCCAGAUCUUACGGAGACCGGAGGGGAAGCGUCCAUAAGACUGGGGGAGGAAGAAGAUCCCGAUCCUACGGAGACUGGGGGAGAUGCCUCCAUGGGACUGGGAGAGCUUUGGGAACCUUUGACUGAUCGACUCAUUUCCACAGUUUCUAGUCCGCGUUACUUGCUUUGGCAUCUGAUCGAUUGAAACACCUUGCUUCCCCCCUACUGGCAAUUUAGGCUUGUGCCUAACUCUUAUUGUUGGCUGCUGUUCUUCAUUGUAUUACUACAUUGUUGUUUAGUCGUCUAAUAGAUUCCUUUGGACUGAAUCAGAACAACAGACACUAUAGAGAUGGCUUGUUAGAUGGAGAGAGACAAGCAGCGUGGAUAUUGAGUAUGUAUCUGAAAACAAUUCUCAGGCAAGACAUUAUUUGGAUGCUUCGGUGUGGAGACAAACACAGGGUAGGUUGUUGGUAGAAUGUCUCUAGAUACUGUUCUUAUACGUACAAGACCCAUGCCAUGGUUGACAAGGUUGGGAAGUUUUAUUCAGUUGAUAGCUGCUAUGUUCCUCGGUUGAUUAUUUCGCAUUAGCUUUUGCAAAUGGAUGGUUUAUUAACAUUGGUUAUGUUAACUUCAAUUCCUCUCCUCGCUAUAGGUCUCUAUUUUCUACACAAAGUAGCAUUAGAUUGUACAAAGGUUUUUUGAAGUGAAUAAAAUUUAAAAAU